rnacentral:tRNA from 2 species
GCCCGGCUAGCUCAAUCGGUAGAGCGUGAGACUCUUACGAAUCACAAGUUCCGAAACAUCUCAAGGCUGUGGGUUCGACCCCCACGUCGGGCU